rnacentral:pre_miRNA from 1 species
AUUCUACUCCCUCCGUUGCACAAUACAUGCCUUCUAUUUGUCAAAAUAUAUAUGUAUCUAGACAUGUUUUAGUAUAUAGGUACAUCCAUUUUUGGAAAAAUGGAAGUCAAGUAUUUUGGAACGGAGGAAGUACACA